rnacentral:rRNA from 1 species
UACGAAGGGGGCUAGCGUUGUUCGGAAUUAUUGGGCGUAAAGCGCACGUAGGCGGCUUUCUAAGUCGGGGGUGAAAUCCUGGAGCUCAACUCCAGAACUGCCUUCGAUACUGGAGAGCUCGAGUCCGGGAGAGGUGAGUGGAACUGCGAGUGUAGAGGUGAAAUUCGUAGAUAUUCGCAAGAACACCAGUGGCGAAGGCGGCUCACUGGCCCGGUACUGACGCUGAGGUGCGAAAGCGUGGGGAGCAAACAGG